rfam:Rhodococcus pyridinivorans SB3094, complete genome.
CUCCUGCUAGCCUCAGUUCGUCCAUCACGAUGGGAUCCGAGGAAGCCGGUGUGAAUCCGGCGCGGUACCGCCACUGUGAGCGGCGCUUCGACAAGCGUCUGCGAGCCAGAUACUCACCCCAUUCGUACCUUUCAG